AACUGGAGUGAUGAAAAAAUUAUCCUUAGGCAUGGCUGUGUCCGUCUUGGUCACGUGUGUGCCACUUGCCAAUGCAAGGACAUGUCAUAGUUACACUGACUGUUG
rnacentral:snoRNA from 1 species